rnacentral:rRNA from 1 species
AAGUCGAACGGAGCUUCCUGUAGCAAUACAGGAAGUCACGUGGCGGACGGGUGCGUAACACGUGGGCAACCUGCCCGGAAAUGGGGAAUAACCCGCCGAAAGGCGGGCUAAUACCGCAUAACAUCCCAGUUGCUUCGGCGAUAGGGAUCAAAGCCCGCAAGGGCGUUACCGGAGGGGCCCGCGCCCGAUUAGCUAGUUGGUAGGGUAACGGCCUACCAAGGCUUAGAUCGGUAGCCGGUCUGAGAGGACGAUCGGCCACACUGGAACUGAGACACGGUCCAGAUUCCUACGGGAGGCAGCAGUGGGGAAUCUUGCGCAAUGGGCGAAAGCCUGACGCAGCGACGCCGCGUGAGGGAUGAAGCUUCUCGGAGUGUAAACCUCUUUCGACCCGGACGAAGGCCCGCAAGGGCUUGACGGUACGGGGAGAAGAAGCCCCGGCUAACUACGUGCCAGCAGCCGCGGUAAAACGUAGGGGGCCAGCGUUGCUCGGAAUUACUGGGCGUAAAGGGUCUGUAGGCGGUGCGGUAAGUCCGGAGUGAAAUCUCCAGGCUCAACUUGGAGGCUGCUUUGGAAACUGCCGUGCUCGAGUGCGGGAGAGGCGAGCGGAAUUGCAGGUGUAGCGGUGAAAUGCGUAGAUAUCUGCAGGAACA